rnacentral:rRNA from 1 species
UACGUAGGGGGCUAGCGUUGUCCGGAAUCAUUGGGCGUAAAGCGCGUGUAGGCGGUCCGGUAAGUCCGCUGUGAAAGUCGAGGGCUCAACCCUCGAAUGCCGGUGGAUACUGUCGGGCUAGAGUGCGGAAGAGGCGAGUGGAAUUCCUGGUGUAGCGGUGAAAUGCGCAGAUAUCAGGAGGAACACCUAUUGCGAAGGCAGCUCGCUGGGACGUCACUGACGCUGAGACGCGAAAGCGUGGGGAGCAAACAGG